ACGCUGGCGGCAGGCCUAUCGCAUGCAAGUCGAACGCUGUAGCAAUACAGAGUGGCAGACGGGUGAGUAACGCGUGGGAACAUACCCUUUGGUUCGGAAUAACCCAGGGAAACUUGAGCUAAUACCGGAUACGUCCGCGAGGAGAAAGAUUCAUCACCGAAGGAUUGGCCCGCGUUCGAUUAGCUAGUUGGUGAGGUAACGGCUCACCAAGGCGACGAUCGAUAGCUGGUCUGAGAGGAUGAUCAGCCACAUUGGGACUGAGACACGGCCCAAACUCCUACGGGAGGCAGCAGUGGGGAAUAUUGGACAAUGGGCGAAAGCCUGAUCCAGCCAUGCCGCGUGAGUGAUGAAGGCCCUAGGGUUGUAAAGCUCUUUCGUCAGGGACGAUAAUGACGGUACCUGAAGAAGAAGCCCCGGCUAACUUCGUGCCAGCAGCCGCGGUAAUACGAAGGGGGCUAGCGUUGUUCGGAAUCACUGGGCGUAAAGCGCACGUAGGCGGAUUGUUAAGUCAGAGGUGAAAUGCCAAGGCUCAACCUUGGAACUGGCUUUGAUACUGGCAAUCUCGAGUCCGGGAGAGGUGAGUGGAACUGCGAGUGUAGAGGUGAAAUUCGUAGAUAUUCGCAAGAACACCAGUGGCGAAGGCGGCUCACUGGCCCGGUACUGACGCUGAGGUGCGAAAGCGUGGGGAGCAAACAGGAUUAGAUACCCUGGUAGUCCACGCCGUAAACGAUAGAUGCUAGCCGUUAGACAGCUUGCUGUUUAGUGGCGCAGUUAACACUUUAAGCAUCCCGCCUGGGGAGUACGGUCGCAAGAUUAAAACUCAAAUGAAUUGACGGGG
rnacentral:rRNA from 2 species